AACCUGCCUGUAAGACUGGGAUAACUUCGGGAAACCGGAGCUAAUACCGGAUAAUCCUUUCCCUCACAUGAGGGGAAGCUGAAAGACGGCUUCUCGCUGUCACUUACAGAUGGGCCCGCGGCGCAUUAGCUAGUUGGUGAGGUAACGGCUCACCAAGGCAACGAUGCGUAGCCGACCUGAGAGGGUGAUCGGCCACACUGGGACUGAGACACGGCCCAGACUCCUACGGGAGGCAGCAGUG
rnacentral:rRNA from 1 species